UGGGGAAUUUUGGACAAUGGGCGCAAGCCUGAUCCAGCCAUGCCGCGUGCAGGAUGAAGGCCCUCGGGUUGUAAACUGCUUUUGUACGGAACGAAAAGCCUCUUUCUAAUAAAGAGGGGUGAUGACGGUACCGUAAGAAUAAGCACCGGCUAACUACGUGCCAGCAGCCGCGGUAAUACGUAGGGUGCGAGCGUUAAUCGGAAUUACUGGGCGUAAAGCGUGCGCAGGCGGUCUUGCAAGACAGUGGUGAAAUCCCCGGGCUUAACCUGGGAACUGCGUUUGUGACUGCAAGGCUGGAGUACGGCAGAGGGGGGUGGAAUUCCACGUGUAGCAGUGAAAUGCGUAGAGAUGUGGAGGAACACCGAUGGCGAAGGCAGCCCCCUGGGCCUGUACUGACGCUCAUGCACGAAAGCGUGGGGAGCAAACA
rnacentral:rRNA from 1 species